rnacentral:rRNA from 1 species
UACGAAGGGGCUAGCGUUGCUCGGAAUCACUGGGCGUAAAGGGUGCGUAGGCGGGUCUUUUAAGUCAGGGGUGAAAUCCUGGAGCUCAACUCCAGAACUGCCUUUGAUACUGAGGAUCUUGAGUUCGGGAGAGGUGAGUGGAACUGCGAGUGUAGAGGUGAAAUUCGUAGAUAUUCGCAAGAACACCAGUGGCGAAGGCGGCUCACUGGCCCGAUACUGACGCUGAGGCACGAAAGCGUGGGGAGCA